rnacentral:sRNA from 1 species
AAUUGCGUAAGUGAACAAGAACAAGAGGAAGAAAGAAGAAUUUGUUAUGUUGGCAUUACUAGAGCUAAAGAAAAGCUUUAUAUAACUAAUGCGGAAAC